AAUAAACACUGGAUUUCCAUGUCCAGCGUUUGAUAUCUUAUUUGGAAAAAAUAUGAAAAAAUUAAAAAGAUAAGUCACGCAUAAAGUAUUAAUCAUAUUUUAUCAUCUAACAACAAUGAAAAUACUAAUUAUAAAAAAAUUCAUAUAAGACGGACAGUCAAAUGUUGGACAUGGAAACCCAGAGUAGAAAUCAAC
rfam:Oryza glaberrima chromosome 9 Oglab09_0129_12, whole genome shotgun sequence.